rnacentral:rRNA from 1 species
CCUACGGGAGGCAGCAGUGGGGGAUAUUGGACAAUGGGGGAAACCCUGAUCCAGCGAUGCCGCGUGAGGGAAGAAGGUUUUCGGAUUGUAAACCUCUGUGGAGGGGGACGAUAAUGACGGUACCCCUUUAGGAAGCCACGGCUAACUACGUGCCAGCAGCCGCGGUAAUACGUAGGUGGCGAGCGUUGUCCGGAAUUACUGGGUGUAAAGGGAGCGCAGGGGGCGUGGCAAGUCAGAUGUGAAAACCCGGGGCCAAACCCCGGGAGAGCAUUUGAAACUGCCAUGCUGGAGUGCCGGAGAG